rnacentral:rRNA from 1 species
AAUCUGCCUUUAGGACGGGGACAACAGUUGGAAACGGCUGCUAAAACCCGAUGUGCCCUUCGGGGUGAAAUAUUUAUAGCCUGAAGAUGAGCUCGCGUCUGAUUAGCUAGUAGGUGAGGUAAAGGCUCACCUAGGCGACGAUCAGUAACUGGUUUGAGAGGAUGACCAGUCACACUGGGACUGAGACACGGCCCAGACUCCUACGGGAGGCAGCAGUGGGGAAUUUUCCGCAAUGGGCGCAAGCCUGACGGAGCAAUACCGCGUGAGG